AAAUAGAUACCCAGGUAGUCCACGCCGUAAACGGUGGGUACUAGGUGUGGGUUUCCUUCCUUGGGAUCCGUGCCGUAGCUAACGCAUUAAGUACCCCGCCUGGGGAGUACGGCCGCAAGGCUAAAACUCAAAGGAAUUGACGGGGCCCGCACAAGCGGCGGAGCAUGUGGAUUAAUUCGAUGCAACGCGAAGAACCUUACCUGGGUUUGACAUGCACAGGACGCCGGCAGAGAUGUCGGUUCCCUUGUGGCCUGUGUGCAGGUGGUGCAUGGCUGUCGUCAGCUCGUGUCGUGAGAUGUUGGGUUAAGUCCCGCAACGAGCGCAACCCUUGUCCUAUGUUGCCAGCGGGUUAUGCCGGGGACUCGUAGGAGACUGCCGGGGUCAACUCGGAGGAAGGUGGGGAUGACGUCAAGUCAUCAUGCCCCUUAUGUCCAGGGCUUCACACAUGCUACAAUGGCCGGUACAAAGGGCUGCGAUGCCGUGAGGUGGAGCGAAUCCUUGGUAAAGCCGGUCUCAGUUCGGAUCGGGGUCUGCAACGUCCG
rnacentral:rRNA from 1 species